UGGGGAAUAUUGCACAAUGGGCGCAAGCCUGAUGCAGCCAUGCCGCGUGUGUGAAGAAGGCCUUCGGGUUGUAAAGCACUUUCAGCGGGGAGGAAGGCGUUAAGGUUAAUAACCUUGGCGAUUGACGUUACCCGCAGAAGAAGCACCGGCUAACUCCGUGCCAGCAGCCGCGGUAAUACGGAGGGUGCAAGCGUUAAUCGGAAUUACUGGGCGUAAAGCGCACGCAGGCGGUCUGUCAAGUCGGAUGUGAAAUCCCCGGGCUCAACCUGGGAACUGCAUUCGAAACUGGCAGGCUAGAGUCUUGUAGAGGGGAGUAGAAUUCCAGGUGUAGCGGUGAAAUGCGUAGAGAUCUGGAGGAAUACCGGUGGCGAAGGCGGCCCCCUGGACGAAGACUGACGCUCAGGUGCGAAAGCGUGGGGAGCAAACAGG
rnacentral:rRNA from 1 species